rnacentral:rRNA from 1 species
UAAUACCGCAUAUGACGAAGUUGAAAGGAGUAAUCCGUCUAAAGAUGAGCCCGCGUCCGAUUAGCUAGUUGGUAGAGUAAAAGCCUACCAAGGCGACGAUCGGUAGCUGGUCUGAGAGGAUGAUCAGCCACAAUGGGACUGAGACACGGCCCGUACUCCUACGGGAGGCAGCAGUGGGAAUUUUACGCAAUGGCGAAAGCCUGACGUAGCGACACCGCGUGAGCGAAAGAACGCCCCUUGGGGUGUAAAGCUCUGUACAGCUGGAACGAAAAAAUGACGGUACCAGCAGAGGAAGCAUCGGCUAACUACGUG